rnacentral:ncRNA from 2 species
GUUUGUCUUCAGGGCAGGGUGUAAUUCCCGACCGGCGGUAAAGUCCGCGACCUGCAGUGAAUACUGCGGCUGACCCGGUGCAAUUCCGGGACCGAUAGUAAAGUCUAGAUGGAAGAAGAUAUGC